GACGAACGCUGGCGGCGUGCUUAACACAUGCCAGUCGAACGGAAAGGCCCUGCUUUUGUGGGGUGCUCGAGUGGCGAACGGGUGAGUAACACGUGAGUAACCUGCCCUUGACUUUGGGAUAACUUCAGGAAACUGGGGCUAAUACCGGAUAGGAGCUCCUGCUGCAUGGUGGGGGUUGGAAAGUUUCGGCGGUUGGGGAUGGACUCGCGGCUUAUCAGCUUGUUGGUGGGGUAGUGGCUUACCAAGGCUUUGACGGGUAGCCGGCCUGAGAGGGUGACCGGCCACAUUGGGACUGAGAUACGGCCCAGACUCCUACGGGAGGCAGCAGUGGGGAAUAUUGCACAAUGGGCGGAAGCCUGACGCAGCAACGCCGCGUGCGGGAUGACGGCCUUCGGGUUGUAAACCGCUUUCGCCUGUGACGAAGCGUGAGUGACGGUAAUGGGUAAAGAAGCACCGGCUAACUACGUG
rnacentral:rRNA from 1 species